ensembl:lncRNA
UUCAAAACCAUAUGAAGCCCCGAAAUAACUGUGCAACUUUGCUGCAGAAGGAAGGCCAUGGUAUUGUGAGGCUCCUGAGCUCUACUCUGCACUGGAAGCUAGUUCCCCCAUGGUAGACAGAAGAAAGUCAGAUAGAUUGAAGCCUGCAGGCUCCUGGAGGUAGCAGAAAUGUGAAGUCAUGGCUUGAAGUAGUGAUUGAGCACCUGGUGGGAAGGGGGGGCCAGCCCAGGGGAUCGCAGGUGCAUACAAUGCACCUGAGUGACCAGAAAGGGUGGAGCCAAGAUCCCUGCAUACCUGAGGUCUUCUGAAGGAUCACUGUAGGCAAAUCAUGCCAGAAGCUGUAGAUUGUCACCUGUUGGGGAUAGAAAAGGACACCUUGCACUUGACAGCUUACUUAGACCAGAUGUUUUUAGUUAAGAGUUUUAUACAGUCAGAAACAGGAACGAAGACAGAAG